ensembl:lncRNA
UUUUGGUUUCUCGGCCACAAGGCACAUGGGAUCCUAGCUCACCAAGCAGGCGUUGAACCCACAACCCCUGCGCUGGAAGGGGAAGGCUACCUACAGGAGCGCCAGGGAGGCCCCAGGCUCAUACUGUUCUAAGUUCCGAGGAGCAGAAUCGCAAGAACCUGCCCGACAGCUCUCCAGAACUGCUGCACUUCUGUCAGGAAUUAAACAAGAGAACCAAAGCAAAUGUUUGAGGCGCUGCUCCUUCACCAACACUGACUGUUCUUUCUUAUGGACUAUCCACAAACAGCAGCAGGAUUUGACCUGCAGCCUCUGGCCGCAGCUGGCCAAGCCCUGGGCGACCGGCAGGGCAGAUGUUCAGCACAGAGGAGGACAUGCUGUGACAGCAGCGAGAGAGCGGAGAGCUGCGUGCUGCGGGCGGG